rnacentral:rRNA from 1 species
GAUGAACGCUGGCGGCGUGCCUAAUACAUGCAAGUCGAGCGAACAGACGAGGAGCUUGCUCCUCUGACGUUAGCGGCGGACGGGUGAGUAACACGUGGAUAACCUACCUAUAAGACUGGGAUAACUUCGGGACACCGGAGCUAAUACCGGAUAAUAUAUUGAACCGCAUGGUUCAAUAGUGAAAGACGGUUUUGCUGUCACUUAUAGAUGGAUCCGCGCCGCAUUAGCUAGUUGGUAAGUUAACGGCUUACCAAGGCAACGAGGCGUAGCCGACCUGAGAGGGUGAUCGGCCACACUGGAGCUGAGCCACGGUCCAGACUCCUACGGGAGGCAGCAGUAGGGAAUCUUACGCAAUGGGCGGAAGCCUGACGGAGCAACGCCGCGUGAGUGAUGAAGGUCUUCGGAUCGUAAAACUCUGUUAUUAGGGAAGAACAAAUGUGUAAGUAACUAUGCACGUCUUGACGGUACCUAAUCAGAAAGCCACGGCUAACUACGUG